UACGUAGGGGGCAAGCGUUGUCCGGAUUUAUUGGGCGUAAAGAGCGUGUAGGCGGCCAGACAGGUCCGUUGUGAAAACUCGAGGCUCAACCUCGAGAUGUCGAUGGAAACCGUCUGGCUAGAGUCCGGAAGAGGCGAGUGGAAUUCCCGGUGUAGCGGUGAAAUGCGCAGAUAUCGGGAGGAACACCAAUGGCGAAGGCAGCUCGCUGGGACGUUACUGACGCUGAGACGCGAAAGCGUGGGGAGCAAACAGG
rnacentral:rRNA from 1 species